ACGUUCUCCUACGAUCACCAAAGUUAAGCAACGUCGAGCCUGUUCAGUACCUAGAUGGGUGAUCACUUGAGAAUACCAGGUGUUGUAA